UGGGGAAUUUUGGACAAUGGGCGCAAGCCUGAUCCAGCAAUGCCGCGUGUGUGAAGAAGGCCUUCGGGUUGUAAAGCACUUUUGUCCGGAAAGAAAACCUCAGCCCUAAUACGGCGGGGGGAUGACGGUACCGGAAGAAUAAGCACCGGCUAACUACGUGCCAGCAGCCGCGGUAAUACGUAGGGUGCAAGCGUUAAUCGGAAUUACUGGGCGUAAAGCGUGCGCAGGCGGUCCGCUAAGACAGAUGUGAAAUCCCCGGGCUUAACCUGGGAACUGCAUUUGUGACUGGCGGGCUAGAGUAUGGCAGAGGGGGGUAGAAUUCCACGUGUAGCAGUGAAAUGCGUAGAGAUGUGGAGGAAUACCGAUGGCGAAGGCAGCCCCCUGGGCCAAUACUGACGCUCAUGCACGAAAGCGUGGGGAGCAAACA
rnacentral:rRNA from 1 species